GGCCAGGCUGGCUGAGACCUGCCCGGCUUGGCGCCAGAGCCCCCUGCCCGCCCCUCCAUCUUUUUACAAGAGAAGCUUGCAAAGGGUUGGGACAGCAAUUGUGAAACCAGCAAAGCGACCUUUGCAUGGGGCUCCUUCAUCUCCUCUUCAGGAAGUCCUCCUUCGACUCUGUCCUGCCUCACAGGUCCCUGCAAAUCUCUGGACCUGCGUGCCAGCCCCGCACACCCUGGGAUGUCCACCUACUGUCAAGGUCCUACAAAACAGCCAGAAGAACCCUGUGGAGACGGGAGUCAGCUCAGGCCACUGUUCUGUUCAGAAUGCGCCCACGGCUCCAUCUCGCUGAAAGUAAAAGCCAUCGUUCUCUCUGUGGUUUGUUAGGUCCUAGAUCCUAGGACCUUUCCCUCCCUGACCCCAUCUGUCGCUCCUUCUCCCUCUCAAGCAGUGUUUUUGCCACUCCGUUGCCGUGCUGUUCCAUCAACCCCGGGACCUUUACACUUCCUGGCCCCUCUGCCUGUCACGGAAUGGCUUCCUCCUUGCUUGCCUCUAAUCUCUCCUGUGACUUGCCUCAUUAGGGAGCUUUGAUACCAGCUCUCAUUCUCCAGACUGCCCCAUGUUUCCCAACUCCGUCACCU